GGGAGGCAGCAGUGGGAAUUUUCCGCAAUGGCGAAAGCCUGACGGAGCAAUCUCGCGUGAGGGAUGACGGCCUAUGGGUUGUAAACCUCUUUUUUCAGGGAGGAACCAAAUGACGUGUACCUGAAGAAUAAGCAUCGGCUAACUCCGUGCCAGCAGCCGCGGUAAGACGGAGGAUGCAAGUGUUAUCCGGAAUCACUGGGCGUAAAGCGUCUGUAGGUGGUUUGAUAAGUCAACUGUUAAAUCUUGAAGCUCAACUUCAAAAUCGCAGUCGAAACUAUUAGACUAGAGUAUAGUAGGGGUAAAGGGAAUUUCCAGUGGAGCGGUGAAAUGCGUAGAUAUUGGAAAGAACACCGAUGGCGAAGGCACUUUACUGGGCUAUUACUGACACUCAGAGACGAAAGCUAGGGUAGCAAAUGGGAUUAGAUACCCCAGUAGUCCUAGCCGUAAACNAUGGAUACUAGAUGUUGNACAGAUCGACCUGUGCAGUANUNAAGCUNACGCGUUA
rnacentral:rRNA from 1 species